UACGAAGGGGGCUAGCGUUGUUCGGAAUUACUGGGCGUAAAGCGCGCGUAGGCGGUGAUCCAUGUCAGAGGUGAAAGCCCGGGGCUCAACUCCGGAAUUGCCUUUGAAACGGGAUCGCUAGAGUCCGAGAGAGGAUGGCGGAAUUCCUAGUGUAGAGGUGAAAUUCGUAGAUAUUAGGAAGAACACCGGUGGCGAAGGCGGCCACCUGGACGGUAACUGACGCUGAGACGCGAAAGCGUGGGGAGCAAACAGG
rnacentral:rRNA from 1 species